rnacentral:rRNA from 1 species
GACGAACGCUGGCGGCGUGCUUAACACAUGCAAGUCGAACGGUGAAGGGACCGGUUUUUGCUGGUUCUGGAUGAGUGGCGAACGGGUGAGUAACACGUGAGUAACCUGCCCCCUUCUUCUGGAUAACCGCAGGAAAGUGUGGCUAAUACGGGAUAUUCUGCGCCUGCUGCAUGGUGGGUGUGGGAAAGAUAUUGUUUCGGGGGGGGAUGGGCGCGCGGCCUAUCAGCUUGUUGGUGGGGUGGUGGGCUACCAAGGCGGUGACGGGUAGCCGGCCUGAGAGGGUUGACGGUCUCGCUGGGGCUGAGGCUCGGCCCAGCCUCCUACGGGAGGCAGCAGUGGCGCAUACUGCACACUGGGCGCGAGCCUGUUGCAGCGACGCCGCGUGAGUGAUGGAGGCCUGCGGGUUGUAAACCUCUUUCGCCAGUGAAGCAGGCCUGUCCCUUUUGUGGGUGGGUUGACGGUAGCUGGAUAAGAAGCGCCGGCUAACUACGUG